AAGCUCCCCAGCCGUUUAGACCUUUCUUCUCCAACCAAAAAUCCUAAGACCUUCACCUCUCAAUCACCAAGAGCCAUCAGCGAAAAACAGACCCUUCCAAGCCACCGCCCACCGCUGCCUUCUUCUUCAUCUUCACACCCAAAACCAAGAAACCUAGGACCCUAAUCUUGAAAAUGAGAUUCCAGCCGCGACUCCCAAAAUAACGAGACACCACCCCAAUUUCUAGUCAGCCAUUUCCUCUAAAGGAGAAGAGCAGCAACGGCCUACCGCCCUCGACUCUGAGCUUCUGCCGCCGACCACCAUUGUACAUGCCUCUCUUCCAUUCCCCCUAGCCAUUUCCACUAGAAAACAACCACAACAGACACACAAAACCAGAAAAAGAGAGGAUACAGAGAAGGAAGGGAUGGGGCGAAAAUAGUGACAGAACGUGAGAAGGGACAAGAACAGUCCAGUAUAUGAAAAUAUUCGAAGCAUUAUCGUCCAAGUUCGAGUUUGGGUUUCGAGCUGUCCGUUUGCAAAUCCGAGGUGCCGAUUCGAGGUCCGUUGUUGAAUUUUGUCGCGGUUCCGUCUUUCGUUAAGCGUUUUCAGAUUUCAUUUGGAAAAAAUAUAUCUAAGAUACGACACGAGUUGAGGCCAAGACGAGAGGCAAAGGCAUCGCGGGUUAGAGUUUGGACCGGAUAGAGGUACAUAUCCUGACUUUGAGGCCAUGUGAACAUCCAGUUGAAAGAUGAAAUAAAAUCUGCUACAUGAUUUUGUUAUAAACUUGUUGUAGAUAUUUUAUAUUUCAUAUAAUGUUCCUUGAUUUGUUAAUAUCUUAUUGUAAAUAAAUUUGAAACUAUCGGGGACUGUUAAUGGACUGUAUUGGACUGUUAUAACUGAACUAUAUAGAUUGCUUCUGUUUUAGUUUUAUAUUAAUACAACUAUGCAAUGCUGGUAUGA